rnacentral:sRNA from 1 species
AGCCACGAGAUCGAUAGGGAAACUCAUCGUUUAUAUCUCAAUUCCGAGUUCAGCCGACCUCCUAAUGGCGGGCCACACUCCCUCGGGAGAGCUUAGCUCAGUGGAUUACAAAGGGAGUUAGGCACUCAAAUCUUGUUUCUCGGAGUUUUCACUUUAUCUACUCGUGGCUUUAUAU